rnacentral:rRNA from 1 species
GCUAGCGGCAGGCCUAACACAUGCAAGUCGAGGGGUAACAGAAAGCUUGCUUCUGCUGACGACCGGCGCACGGGUGCGUAACGCGUAUGCAACCUACCUUAUACAGGAGAAUACCCCUUGGAAACGAGGAAUAAUGCUCCAUAGUAUCAUCACUUCGCAUGUUGAGAUGAUUAAAGAAUUUCGGUAUAAGAUGGGCAUGCGUCCCAUUAGCUUGUUGGUGAGGUAACGGCUCACCAAGGCUACGAUGGGUAGGGGGCCUGAGAGGGUGGUCCCCCACACUGGUACUGAGACACGGACCAGACUCCUACGGGAGGCAGCAGUGAGGAAUAUUGGUCAAUGGAGGCAACUCUGAACCAGCCAUGCCGCGUGAAGGAUGACGGCCCUAUGGGUUGUAAACUUCUUUUGAAUAGGAAGAAACUUAUCUACGUGUAGAUAACUGACGGUACUAUUAGAAUAAGGAUCGGCUAACUCCGUGCCAGCAGCCGCGGUAAUACGGAGGAUCCAAGCGUUAUCCGGAUUCAUUGGGUUUAAAGGGUCCGUAGGCGGGUCUUUAAGUCAGUGGUGAAAGCCGACAGCUCAACUGUCGAACUGCCAUUGAUACUGGAGACCUUGAGUACAAAUGAAGUA